rnacentral:rRNA from 1 species
AAAUUGAAGAGUUUGAUCAUGGCUCAGAUUGAACGCUGGCGGCAGGCCUAACACAUGCAAGUCGAACGGUAACAGGAAGCAGCUUGCUGCUUUGCUGACGAGUGGCGGACGGGUGAGUAAUGUCUGGGAAACUGCCUGAUGGAGGGGGAUAACUACUGGAAACGGUGGCUAAUACCGCAUAACGUCGCAAGACCAAAGAGGGGGACCUUCGGGCCUCUUGCCAUCAGAUGUGCCCAGAUGGGAUUAGCUAGUUGGUGAGGUAACGGCUCACCAAGGCGACGAUCCCUAGCUGGUCUGAGAGGAUGACCAGCCACACUGGAACUGAGACACGGUCCAGACUCCUACGGGAGGCAGCAGUGGGGAAUAUUGCACAAUGGGCGCAAGCCUGAUGCAGCCAUGCCGCGUGUAUGAAGAAGGCCUUCGGGUUGUAAAGUACUUUCAGCGGGGAGGAAGGUGUUGUGGUUAAUAACCGCAGCAAUUGACGUUACCCGCAGAAGAAGCACCGGCUAACUCCGUGCCAGCAGCCGCGGUAAUACGGAGGGUGCAAGCGUUAAUCGGAAUUACUGGGCGUAAAGCGCACGCAGGCGGUCUGUCAAGUCGGAUGUGAAAUCCCCGGGCUCAACCUGGGAACUGCAUUCGAAACUGGCAGGCUUGAGUCUUGUAGAGGGGGGUAGAAUUCCAGGUGUAGCGGUGAAAUGCGUAGAGAUCUGGAGGAAUACCGGUGGCGAAGGCGGCCCCCUGGACAAAGACUGACGCUCAGGUGCGAAAGCGUGGGGAGCAAACAGGAUUAGAUACCCUGGUAGUCCACGCCGUAAACGAUGUCUACUUGGAGGUUGUGCCCUUGAGGCGUGGCUUCCGGAGCUAACGCGUUAAGUAGACCGCCUGGGGAGUACGGCCGCAAGGUUAAAACUCAAAUGAAUUGACGGGGGCCCGCACAAGCGGUGGAGCAUGUGGUUUAAUUCGAUGCAACGCGAAGAACCUUACCUGGUCUUGACAUCCACGGAAGUUUUCAGAGAUGAGAAUGUGCCUUCGGGAACCGUGAGACAGGUGCUGCAUGGCUGUCGUCAGCUCGUGUUGUGAAAUGUUGGGUUAAGUCCCGCAACGAGCGCAACCCUUAUCCUUUGUUGCCAGCGGUUAGGCCGGGAACUCAAAGGAGACUGCCAGUGAUAAACUGGAGGAAGGUGGGGAUGACGUCAAGUCAUCAUGGCCCUUACGACCAGGGCUACACACGUGCUACAAUGGCGCAUACAAAGAGAAGCGACCUCGCGAGAGCAAGCGGACCUCAUAAAGUGCGUCGUAGUCCGGAUUGGAGUCUGCAACUCGACUCCAUGAAGUCGGAAUCGCUAGUAAUCGUGGAUCAGAAUGCCACGGUGAAUACGUUCCCGGGCCUUGUACACACCGCCCGUCACACCAUGGGAGUGGGUUGCAAAAGAAGUAGGUAGCUUAACCUUCGGGAGGGCGCUUACCACUUUGUGAUUCAUGACUGGGGUGAAGUCGUAACAAGGUAACCGUAGGGGAACCUGCGGUUGGAUCACCUCCUUACCUGAAAGAAGC